rnacentral:rRNA from 1 species
UACGGAGGAUGCAAGCGUUAUCCGGAUUCAUUGGGUUUAAAGGGUGCGCAGGCGGAGUGAUAAGUCAGUGGUGAAAGCCUGCAGCUUAACUGUAGAACUGCCAUUGAUACUGUCAUUCUUGAGUAUUGUUGAGGUAGGCGGAAUGUGUCAUGUAGCGGUGAAAUGCUUAGAGAUGACACAGAACACCGAUGGCGAAGGCAGCUUAC